UACAGAGGGGGCAAGCGUUAUUCGGAAUUAUUGGGCGUAAAGGGCGCGUAGGCGGCUUUGCAAGUGACGGGUGAAAUCCCUCGGCUUAACCGAGGAACUGCCUGUCAGACUGCAUGGCUUGAGACCAGGAGAGGUGAGUGGAAUUCCCAGUGUAGCGGUGAAAUGCGUAGAUAUUGGGAGGAACACCAGUGGCGAAGGCGGCUCACUGGACUGGUACUGACGCUGAGGCGCGAAAGCCAGGGGAGCGAACGGG
rnacentral:rRNA from 1 species